rnacentral:lncRNA from 1 species
ACCUCUUGGUGUUUUCAGUUUCUACAAAGGACUUAGUACUUUUGUGAGAGAAAGAAUGUUAACUUUUACCUUCUAAAAUUAACAUAUUGUUUGUUUUCUUCAAACAUUCCUACCAAAUGCAGCUUGCUACAUACAUUGUGUGAUGGAAGAGAAGUGAAAGGGCUUUGUAAACUUCAGCUGGUUUUCUCCUCUCUAUCACAGAUGGCAUAGGUUUUGAGUGCUGCCCUCCACUCACGGACGCACUCAAACACAUCGUUCUACCUCCAGUACACUUAAGUAAAAGAGAACCCUAAGUACAGCAGCCUUUCACCAGCUCCCAUGCCAGUCCACACUCUACCCCUGGGACCCUGCCACCUCAAGCCAGCAAUGCAUCAUCUUCCCAGUGUAAGAAGAAAAGCAAAGGAGUUCCCGUGGUGGUGCAGUGGUUAAUGAAUCCGACUAGGAAAUAUGAGGUUGUGGGUUCAAUCCCUGGCCUUGCUCAGUGGGUUAAGGACCCGGCGUUGCUGUGAGCUGUGGUUGUAGGUCGCAGACGCAGCUCAGAUCUGGUGUUGCUGUGGCUCUGGUGUAGGUUAGCGGCUACAACUCCGAUUGGACCCCUAGCCUGGGAAUCUCCAUAUGCCGCGGAGAAGCGCCCUAGAAAAGGCAAAAAGACAAAAAAAUUUUUAAAAAUUUAAAAAAAGAAGAAGAAGAAAAGCAAAAACAGAAGAGGAAACACCAGAAUAUAGAAGGAAGAGGGCUGCAUUUCAGGAACCAUGGCUUCUAUGGCUCUGGUCUCUCCAAGGCGCCCAGCCAGGGCUGGACCUGGAGAAGGCUUUGUUGCCAUCUAGUUGACUUUCCAAAUCAUCCCUUUUGAUUGGCAUCCAAAUUCACUAACCAAAGAAAUCCCAAAUUAAGUCAAAUAUUUCACAACCCUUAUAGGUUGCAAAAUAUUUGGAUGCACAUUUUCUCUCUUGACCUUCCCAACACAUCUGUGAGGAAAAUACCACCAUCUCCAUCACAAGGGUACAUAAGAAAAUUAGAUCUUGGAUAAUUGAAACACAUCAUUCAAGGCCAUACAUUUUACUAUAAAUAAUCCAGUUGGAUCUCAGUUAAUCAAAUUGUGUCUCAUGCCAGUUUUUUUUUUUUAAACAAGUGACACCUAUUAAUGUCACUUAUGAUAUUAAUGUUUGCAGAUACUGCUUCACCCAUUAUUUCCAGACUCGGCUCCCAUUUUUAUUUUUGGUUUUUUUUUUAAUUUUAACAGUAGGAAUUAGAUAUCUAUUGGGAAUUAUUCACUCUUUUACACAUUUAUUGAGAGCCUACCAUGAAUCAAACACUGUUCCUUGCAACAGAGAGUUGUAGAAAAAGGAUGAAUUAUGUCCCUUACCUUUCUCACCCUCCUUUUUGCAGUAAAAAUGCAAGUGUCACAUCUCUCUCAUCUCUGUCCCUUCAUUAUCUCCCUUCUGGACUAUUUGAAUAGGUUCCUAGCUGGUCUCUGGCCUACGGCCCCACCCCACUUCCAUCUCUUUUACAGCAGUUCAGGGCCAUGCCUCUCUUGUGCUGUGACCCCUAUAUGUUCCACAUGGCUGCAAGAGAAAGAACUAAGCUUUAAGAUGGGCUUCAGGGACCCUCCAGGUCUAUUUCCUCCUUCUGCCCCCAUCUCUUGCCAUUCCCCCAGUGAUUCAGAAUGCUCUGGUGCCAAGCCACUCAGUUCUCCAGCCCAGUUGCUUUUCCUCAUUCCCAGUUUUGCCCAAAUAGCGCCCUCUGCUGAGCAUGCCCCUUCUUUAUUCUUGCCUAACCCAUUUCUAAUCAGCCUUAAAAAAAAAAAUCUCAGAUAUGUCCUUAGAAUGCUUUUCUUUUUUCUUUUUAAUUUUUUAUUAUAGUUGACUAUACACACACACAUAUAUAUAUUUUUUUAAAUAUUAUUUUCCAUCAUGGUCUAUCCUAAUAGACUAUAGUUCCUUGUGCUAUACAGUAGAAUCUUAUUGUCUAUCCAUUCUAAAUGUAAUAGUUAACAUCUAUUAACCCCAAACUCCCAGUCCAUCCCACUUUCCCCAUUCCUUGACAACCACAAGUCUGUUCUCCAUAUCUGUGAGUCUGUUUCUAUUUUAUAGAUUACCAUUCUAGGUGACGUAAGCCAGAAAGAGAAGGACAAAUGCCCUAUAUGCAGAGUUAAAAUAUGACACAUAUGAACCUAUCUACAAAUUAGAAUGCUUUUCUGACUGUCUUCCUUGCAUC